rnacentral:lncRNA from 1 species
AGUGAAAAAAGAGAAAAAAUUCGUUUGACUGUUAUCUCUAAGGGGUUUCUGUUUCUCCUCCUUUGAAUAAGUGUUGGUGAGCUGCUUCCUAUGAUGAUCGACAUUCCCUUUGAUGAGAGAUGAUACACGUUAGGUAUAUAUAGGAUCGCCAUUGUCAUAGUUUAGAUGGGGAAAUGAUAAGGACUCAGAGAUGGGUCAGUGAUUCACAACGGUUGUCGAGGAUUUCUUUUGCCCUCAAUGGAUAUAUGUUAUAAUGGCUUCGCGCGAAGGAUAGUAAAAGAUUUAAUAAAAUAUGUAUGUGGUUAAAGAUACUAUUUGAAACUCUAUAAUGAUUUGUACGAUGGUUCUUCUAUUUACUGAGUAUGCUACUCAUACUAGUUGAAUCUUUAUAAUGAUUCGUACGAUGAUCCUUAUGACU